rnacentral:misc_RNA from 1 species
UGUUCGAGCGUCAUUUCACCACUCAAGCCUCGCUUGGUAUUGGGCGCCGCGGCUCGCCGCGCGCCUCAAAGUUUCCGGCUGAGCCGUUCGUCUCUAAGCGUUGUGAUACAUAUUCGCUUCGGAGUGCGGGCGGUUUCCACGGCCGUUAAAUCUUUCACAAGGUUGACCUCGGAUCAGGUAGGGAUACCCGCUGAACUUAA